rnacentral:lncRNA from 1 species
CAACAUUUUAUAAAGUUCAUGUAGUUAAUAGUAAAAAUUAAAAGUUGAGGUGAUAAUUUUGCAUGCCUAAAAGUUCUGGUGGUAUUUAUGCAAAUUUCCCUAUAAAUAAUAUUUAAAAAAAUAGAAAGUCUUUUAAGGUCAAGUAAAACUAAAGAAGCAAAUAAUAGGUAAAUAAAAGUAAAAUAAAUUAAGAUUAAGAAAGCA